UACGUAGGUGGCAAUCGUUGUCCGGAAUUAUUGGGCGUAAAGCGCGCGCAGGUGGUUUCUUAAGUCUGAUGUGAAAGCCCACGGCUCAACCGUGGAGGGUCAUUGGAAACUGGGGAACUUGAGUGCAGAAGAGGAAAGUGGAAUUCCAAGUGUAGCGGUGAAAUGCGUAGAUAUUUGGAGGAACACCAGUGGCGAAGGCGACUUUCUGGUCUGUAACUGACACUGAGGCGCGAAAGCGUGGGGAGCAAACAGG
rnacentral:rRNA from 1 species